GUUCAGCUUCUAACAGUCCAUUGACUUGGACAAAUUUCAUUAA
rnacentral:rRNA from 8 species